GUGCCUACGGGACGCAGCAGGGAAUUUUGGACAAUGGGCGCAAGCCUGAUCCAGCUAUUCCGCGUGUGGGAUGAAGGCCCUCGAGUUGUAAACCACUUUUGUAGAGAACGAAAAGACACCUUCGAAUAAAGGGUGUUGCUGACGGUACUCUAAGAAUAAGCACCGGCUAACUACGUGCCAGCAGCCGCGGUAAUACGUAGGGUGCGAGCGUUAAUCGGAAUUACUGGGCGUAAAGGGUGCGCAGGCGGUUGAGGAAGACAGCUGUUAAAUCCCCGAGCUUAACUUGGGAAUGGC
rnacentral:rRNA from 1 species